CCGGCGACCGGCGGACGGGUGCGUAACACGUAUGUAACCUACCUUUGACAGGGGGAUAACAUCGAGAAAUUGGUACUAAUACCCCAUAACAUCACCGGAGGCAUCUUCGGUGGUUGAAAACUCAGGUGGUCAGAGAUGGACAUGCGUUGUAUUAGCUAGUUGGUGAGGUAACGGCUCACCAAGGCGACGAUACAUAGGGGGACUGAGAGGUCAACCCCCCACAUUGGUACUGAGACACGGACCAAACUCCUACGGAAGGCAGCAG
rnacentral:rRNA from 1 species